AUACCUACUGCCUACUACAUUAGUAAGUAGUAUGUAGCAGGCCGUUUCGGAAACAGCCAUAGACUGCGGCGUGACCUGAGAUCGUCACAUAGCAGGCUGUUCACUAACCCUGACAAACAUGACAGAGGGGGAGAAACCAACGUUUUUAGCCCCACUUCUACCCUCAAGUUCUGCCGCUAUGCAGAGUAAGAAGAGGAAGACUGAUGGAAAAAGUGACAACUUAAAAACACUGGAUAAAGAGACAAACACGAGUCAAUGGGCCUCAUUCAUUAACAGCGCGUACGCACAAACAAGUGCUUAAACUGUGCGUACGAACGUUUGAAGCACAAAUCUGGGAUUCAUCAAUAUAUUCUUACUUGAAUUUGUUACUACACUGCAAACAAAAAUAGAACUUCCUCAGACCAUGUGUACGCACAAAUGAUGACAACCAACUUGCUCAGAAAAUGUAAACACAUACUCUUUUGACUGAAUGCAUGACAUGUUUAAACUACUUUCAGUAAAAGAAAAAAAGAAGAAGAAAUCCCCCUCUGAGCGGUGAGUCUCCUUCUGACCGGUGAAUUCCCCUCUGACCAGUGAGUCUCCUUCUGACCGGUUAAUUCCCCUCUGACCGGUGAGUCCUCCUCUCUGACCGGUGAGUCCUCCUCUCUGACCGGUAUUGCAAAAUAUUUAAGAAGAAGUCAAAGAAGUGGAGCCUGUACACAAUGAAGGUGGAUAAGGACUACAAGUACAUCACAGACCUCCAGAGCACAAUCCUGCACAGAAGGCUGACAGCAACUGGGGGGAUGCCAAAGAAGAGAACCAGGAGGCCAGAUGAUCCAUGCCAACAUGUUUACCUUCAACAGCCAUUAUUUUUAUUUCUGUAAUAAAUACAUUUUGUAAUUAAAGUAAAUGUAAAACAA